UGGGGAAUAUUGCACAAUGGGCGCAAGCCUGAUGCAGCCAUGCCGCGUGUAUGAAGAAGGCCUUCGGGUUGUAAAGUACUUUCAGUCGGGAGGAAGGUGUCAAGGUUAAUAACCUUGGCAAUUGACGUUACCGACAGAAGAAGCACCGGCUAACUCCGUGCCAGCAGCCGCGGUAAUACGGAGGGUGCAAGCGUUAAUCGGAAUUACUGGGCGUAAAGCGCACGCAGGCGGUUGAUUGAGUCAGAUGUGAAAUCCCCGGGCUUAACCCGGGAAUUGCAUCUGAUACUGGUCAGCUAGAGUCUUGUAGAGGGGGGUAGAAUUCCAUGGGUAGCGGUGAAAUGCGUAGAGAUGGUGAGGAAUACCGGUGGCGGAGGCGGCCCCCUGGACAAAGACUGACGCUCAGGUGCGAAAGCGUGGGGAGCAAACAGG
rnacentral:rRNA from 1 species